rnacentral:sRNA from 1 species
AUGAAAGGAGUUGAGCGAUGAACCAGAUUAUCUACCUCGUCGGCCUCGUCGUGAUCGUGAUAGCCAUCUUGUCGUUCUUCGGCUUGAGCUGAAUUGAGACGAUCGGCUCAUCGUCGCGGCCAAGCCGACCCGGCUUUUCCGCAGCUUCCCUCACGGACGCCGUGGAUUUAUUCGCUGCGGCGUACCGGAAAUCGGGAUUCGGACCUUCCCACCAGUUCGGCUCGGAGAUAGCGUCCGCGUCGUAGUUCCGUUGGAGCUACAUCUUUCCCCGCAUUUCGUUUGCCAAGCGGAUGCGUGCCUGCCCCGCCAUCGAGCGGGGCUUUUUU